AGAGUUUGAUCCUGGCUCAGAUUGAACGCUGGCGGCAGGCCUAACACAUGCAAGUCGAGCGGUAGAGAGAAGCUUGCUUCUCUUGAGAGCGGCGGACGGGUGAGUAAUGCCUAGGAAUCUGCCUGGUAGUGGGGGAUAACGUUCGGAAACGGACGCUAAUACCGCAUACGUCCUACGGGAGAAAGCAGGGGACCUUCGGGCCUUGCGCUAUCAGAUGAGCCUAGGUCGGAUUAGCUAGUUGGUGAGGUAAUGGCUCACCAAGGCGACGAUCCGUAACUGGUCUGAGAGGAUGAUCAGUCACACUGGAACUGAGACACGGUCCAGACUCCUACGGGAGGCAGCAGUGGGGAAUAUUGGACAAUGGGCGAAAGCCUGAUCCAGCCAUGCCGCGUGUGUGAAGAAGGUCUUCGGAUUGUAAAGCACUUUAAGUUGGGAGGAAGGGCAGUAAAUUAAUACUUUGCUGUUUUGACGUUACCGACAGAAUAAGCACCGGCUAACUCUGUGCCAGCAGCCGCGGUAAUACAGAGGGUGCAAGCGUUAAUCGGAAUUACUGGGCGUAAAGCGCGCGUAGGUGGUUUGUUAAGUUGGAUGUGAAAUCCCCGGGCUCAACCUGGGAACUGCAUUCAAAACUGACUGACUAGAGUAUGGUAGAGGGUGGUGGAAUUUCCUGUGUAGCGGUGAAAUGCGUAGAUAUAGGAAGGAACACCAGUGGCGAAGGCGACCACCUGGACUAAUACUGACACUGAGGUGCGAAAGCGUGGGGUGCAAACAGGAUUAGAUACCCUGGUAGUCCACGCCGUAAACGAUGUCAACUAGCCGUUGGAAGCCUUGAGCUUUUAGUGGCGCAGCUAACGCAUUAAGUUGACCGCCUGGGGAGUACGGCCGCAAGGUUAAAACUCAAAUGAAUUGACGGGGGCCCGCACAAGCGGUGGAGCAUGUGGUUUAAUUCGAAGCAACGCGAAGAACCUUACCAGGCCUUGACAUCCAAUGAACUUUCUAGAGAUAGAUUGGUGCCUUCGGGAACAUUGAGACAGGUGCUGCAUGGCUGUCGUCAGCUCGUGUCGUGAGAUGUUGGGUUAAGUCCCGUAACGAGCGCAACCCUUGUCCUUAGUUACCAGCACGUAAUGGUGGGCACUCUAAGGAGACUGCCGGUGACAAACCGGAGGAAGGUGGGGAUGACGUCAAGUCAUCAUGGCCCUUACGGCCUGGGCUACACACGUGCUACAAUGGUCGGUACAGAGGGUUGCCAAGCCGCGAGGUGGAGCUAAUCCCAUAAAACCGAUCGUAGUCCGGAUCGCAGUCUGCAACUCGACUGCGUGAAGUCGGAAUCGCUAGUAAUCGCGAAUCAGAAUGUCGCGGUGAAUACGUUCCCGGGCCUUGCAAUGACCGCCCGUC
rnacentral:rRNA from 1 species